AUUGAACGCUGGCGGCAGGCCUAACACAUGCAAGUCGGACGGUAGCACAGAGGAGCUUGCUCCUCGGGUGACGAGUGGCGGACGGGUGAGUAAUGUCUGGGGAUCUGCCCGAUAGAGGGGGAUAACCACUGGAAACGGUGGCUAAUACCGCACAACGUCGCAAGACCAAAGAGGGGGACCUUCGGGCCUCUCACUAUCGGAUGAACCCAGAUGGGAUUAGCUCGUAGGCGGGGUAACGGCCCACCUAGGCGACGAUCCCUAGCUGGUCGGAGAGGAUGACCAGCCACACUGGAACUGAGACACGGUCCAGACUCCUACGGGAGGCAGCGGUGGGGAAUAUUGCACAAUGGGCGCAAGCCUGAUGCAGCCAUGCCGCGUGUAUGAAGAAGGCCUUCGGGUUGUAAAGUACUUUCAGCGGGGAGGAAGGCGAUGUGGUUAAUAACCGCGUCGAUUGACGUUACCCGCAGAAGAAGCACCGGCUAACUCCGUGCCAGCCGCCGCCGUAA
rnacentral:rRNA from 1 species